GUUUGGAUGUGUGUGUGUAUAUAUAUAUAUAUAGAGUUCGGCUACUAUACUAUUAAUAGUACGAAACACUUAGUGCUAUUAAGUUUUCCGCCGUUAAAUCUACCAUUUUGAUCAUUUUCAUCCGUUAUAUCAUAUUAUUCAACUAACCACCCGCUCAACCUUAGGGGGCCCAUAUUAUUCUAACCGCAUAUUUCUUAAUUCAAUGGCCAAAAACUUGGUAGCACCAAUGACUUGGUACUAUUAAUAGCAUAGUAGCCUAGUUNAUAUAAAGUUUGGCUACUAUUCUAUCGAUAGUAUCAAGUUCUUAAUACUAUCGAGUUUUCUGUCGUUAGAUUUAUUCGUUGAUCAUUUCUACUCAUUAGAUUGUGUUAUUCAACCAAUCACCCAUUCAACUCUAAGGGAUCACUAUCAUCCUAACCGCACAUCCUUUCAUCCAAAGGUCGAAAACUCAAUAGCAUCAAGCGAUCAGUAUUAUCAAUAGUAUAACAGCAUAGUUUUAUAUGUAUAUUUAAUUGGAACUAGGCUACUAUAUUAUUGAUAAUACUAAGUAAUUGGUGCUAUUAGGUUUUCGGUCCUUAAAUUAAAAUAUGUGCGGUUAGGAUGAUAAUGGUCCUCUAGAGUUGAGUGGAUGGUUGGUUGAAUAAUAUGAUGUAAUCGGUGGAAAUAACUAAAAGGGUAGAUCUAACGGCGGAAAGCUUGAUAGCCCCAAGUGCUUGGUACUACUGAUAGCACAAAGUAUUUGAUACUAUUGAUAGUACAGUAGUUGAACUUUAUAUGUUGGAUUGCAUGUUGAUGGAAAUUAUGUUUG
rnacentral:lncRNA from 1 species